rnacentral:lncRNA from 1 species
AAAAAAAAAUUAAAAACCCACACAGUCUCCCAUCCCCCACAUGUUGUCAGGUGAGUUUAGGCUUUACUUUACUUUGUGCAUUGGAGAACAGUGACAGAGAGGGAGCUGUGUGCCCUGCUCCAUCCCUUUCUAAGCAGCACAUAUUAAAUCCUAGGAGCUGGUGUUUUUCCCCCCCCUUUGGAAUAUGAGACUGCUGUGGCUCUAAGCUCCUGGCUGGCUGUGUAUUGCUGUAUGAAGCAUUAGGAAGUGCCGGCCUACCCCACUUUUGCCUAGCUGGUCACCUCCCGAGUGUUGAGUGUCUAAGAGCCGUUGGCUGCACUGGAACGUUUGGCUCUUUCUCUUAGUAACAGCUUUUUACAUUCUGCCUCAAUUCCUCUCCAACUUAAUCACUAGAAACUGCCCCCUCCCCCCAUCAUAUAUCUCCUGGAUUUACCCCCCUUCUCUCCUUGCUGUGUACCCCUUACCCUCCCCCCCCCUGCUCACACCAGGGUAAUAACAGCAUAUUACCAGGCUUUGGAGCUGUGUAUCAGCUUUGGGAGGGAGCUGCUGCUUUAUUUGCAACAAUAUCAAGGUAAGUCUCUAAUUUCUUGGAAGGGGAGCCCAGGGAGGUGUGUGUGACCGUGCCAGGCAGGGGGGAUAGUGCAUGCAGGGCAGUGAGAGGGGGUAUGUGCUGGAAGGUAUGCUGGGUGGGGGAUGGGUAGUGUAAUGUAUAUGAUCUCCUCUUCCUACUUAUGGGGAAUGAUGAUGAGGAUGAUGAUUAUUAUUAUUGUGAUCUGUUUAUUGCCCUGCUAGGCUGGCAGUGGCCCCAAGGCUUGGUCGGGGCACACACUGCAUAGGUAAGGGAGGGGGUUGCCCCCAAAUCUAGACAUUUUAUGAUGGGGAAUCCCUGACAUAGGGGCUCACAGGCAUACGAUGAGUGGGGGAGGGGUGUAGUCCUAAUGGCAUGUUAACUAGUGGAGUGCUGGAAAGGUCCUGCAAAGCCCUUUUGUUUACAAGGCCCUUCCAGCAACGAAGAGGUGGACUGGCAACCCCUCCCCCCUCCCUGUUGCUUUCAUUUAACCCUUUCUGCUGGUUUGCAAUGCUUUAGCUGGAGAGAAGAUUGGCUCUAUUUAUAUAAACAAUGGCCUUUAAUGACUGUAUGCAACACAUGUCUACAAUUAAACACACACACACACACACACACACACAUAUAUAUAGUAGUGUUUAUUAAUUUUAAUACGGUGGCUGAUGUAGACGUGUUGUGUAAAAUGAAAUAUUACCCCUCCCCCACCCAAUACUAGGAGUGCACAUUUGUGAAAUGUGAACACCAUGUACAUAUUCUAAAUAUGUGAAAUAUACAGAUACAUAUCCUGUAAUAAAUGUAUGUAAUAUCAGUCCCAGGAAGCACAUGGGGUCCUCUAACAAGCCAAUCUACAAUAUGGUUGUGGGGCUAGAGGCUGCAGUACAAGGCAGGGGCAAUAUCUUUUACAUUGUGAUGUAAAAAUACAACUUAUUUUCCACCAGUGUAUGCUAUUAUUUAUAACAGCGGUUACACAGUUAUUACUUAAUUAUUAUGGGUUAUAAACUAAAAUGUAUCUAUUGAUUUAUAGACCGGAAGAUAAAUACAAAUUAUUUCAGCAAUUCUUCAGAACAUAGAUUUGUUAUUUUAUUGAUCAAUGUAUUCACAAACAAACGUGUGUAUGUGUGUAUGUAUUUGUCAACAUGCAAGUCUAUGGCAGUGUUGCACAUUUAUGCAAACGUAUUUCACAGUGAUGGAAAAUUCAGGUGUGGAAAGAAAGAUUAUUAACCCUUCUGCCACUAGUGAGGCCUAAAGCCUAUUGUGAUGCAAACCUUAUUUUUGUUUGGAUUCUAAAAACAAAAUGAAAGUGAUGGGAGUUGUGAAACAAUGCUUCAAAGGGCCACAACUGGCUUAACCUAAUGCAAAGAUCUGUGUAGUUUAGUGCCUGAUGAGAGCACAAGGCCUGGAACCUUCAAGGACCAAUACAGUGGGCAGUAUAUGCUUUUUUAUUUUCACGUCAUAAGUAUUUUGCAGUGUUGAGAUUCAUCUUACUCCCAUUCAGGGAUGUGAGCUGUCUGAUCUCUGUUACCAGUGGGUGACUGUGUCAUAGUUGAACAUAAGAAGGAUGCUCCUUAUAUGGUCUGCUAGUGGUCAUUGCAUGCUUUCAGUAAUGGAUGUGACGUACUCUGGUUGUAGAAAAAAAAACCAAGUGGUUCUCAAAUCUAUAAACAAAUACUCUCAUCUAACUGGACCAAUAAUACUGUUUGGUCGGAGUCUAAAUGUUCAAGUCACUGUGUGUUUCAGUGGUUGGUUUGUGCCACAGAACACAGAUUGUACAUGCGGCCUAUAUUUUAAUUGAACAAGUCCUAAAUUUAUUUUAGGAAGUUUCCACAUUAAAGUGUAUGACAUUUUAUUGAAGUUGAAUCCGGUUUUUAUUUUUAUUUUUGGUGUUUGUAUAACAUGUAAAUUCCUAUAAGUAAGGUUUCAACAUAUUCUGCAGCACUCUACAAUUUUAAAAAUGGAAAUAACUAUUCAGGUAAUUGACUAACAAAAUCAUUUUGACAGAACCAAACUGAUAGCCCAAACCAAUAUACAAUCUAGCAAAUAAAUAAAAACAAAAUUUACAUUUGUUGUAGUAAGGAACUUCAGUUUAAAGGGGCAGUUUAGGUAUAAUAAGGCACCAUAACAACUUCAUCUUAAGGAAAUUGAUAUGGUGCCAGGAGGCCCCUGGGCACAUUCUUACCUUCAGGGGUUAACCGUUAAACCUUCUAAAAUGCUCUAACCCCUGAAGGUAUGAAUGUGCUUGGGGGCCUCCUGGCACCAUAACAACGUCCUUUAGAUGAAGUUGUUUUGGUGCAUGGCAUGUUCCCUUAAUUCUAAUUUCCUAGAUCACACUCAAUCUAAACAUAGAUUUAUGCGUUAAGGUUUCACUUACCUGCCUGAAAAUAACAUUAUUAACUAAUUAUAGCAUUAGGUAAAUUGUCUCUAUCAGAUUUGAACUAUUAGGGAAUACAAUGAGAGUUCGGCUGUUGUUUAACCAUGUCACAAUACAUUGCGCAAGACCGUAAAAGAGCUCUCUCAUACACAUAACACGUGGAUGGUAUGGUUCAUUUCAGUAACAUAUAUAAAUACUCAAUAGUUGUCCUAGAGAAACUGUCAUUUUAGGAAGCCACUUGCAAAACAUGAAUAUAGAGUUAAACAUAUACAUUUGCUUGAGCCUAAAGUAAAACUCGACAGGGCCGGUGCAAGGAUUUUUGCCGCCCUAGGCAAAAGUAAAGGUUGCCGCCCCCCCCUCCCUUGUGACAUCACAAUGCCCCACUCAUAUGAUCUGCCAUGUUAACUAACGCCAGUGCUGCAGUGCCGCCGUGUUUAAAUUAAAAGGCCUGCAGGGACAGGCUAUAGACACCAGAACCACUACAUUAAGCUGCAGUGGUUCUGGGGACUAUAGUGUUUCUUUAAUGUGAGGUAAAUUAGAGAUUUGUGCCACGAAUAAUAUACUGGAUUGCCUACUUACAACCAGAUGAGGAUGAUGAUGGGCUCUAGCUGCAGUCUGGCUCCACUGGUCUGGUGUAGAACAGGAUCUCUGGAGGCGGUUUGUAACUGUGGUCACAAAAAUCAAUGUUCUGGGAGAACGGGAAGCAGCUCCAUUUUUUUGGGGGCCCUUUACACAGCUCAAGGUCUGGGUCCCAGGGUUCACCUUCAUGUUCCACCAAUGAGUUUGUUCACAGGGGGUGGAGUGUGUAGGCGAUGUCCUGAUGUGUGUAAGGACAUUGAGUGAAUCUGUGUUUGUAUGUGUAAGGGCUGCGAGGUGUGUUUGUGUAUGUAUGGGAUGCAUUGAGUGUGUGUAAUGCAUGCAUUGUGUGUUUCUGUGUGUGUAAGGGAUGCAUUGCUUGUGUAUGUGUGUCUGUGUGUGUGUAAUGCAUUGUGUGUUUUUCUGUGUGCAUUGUGUGUGAUGGAUGCCAAUCCCCCCCCUCUCCAAUUUCCUUCUUCUCCCCCCUCUCCAAUUUCCUUCUUCUGCCCACCCUCUCCAAUUUCCUUCUCCCCCCCUCUCCAAUUUCCUCCCCCCCCAUCCAAUUUCUUUAUCCCCCUCUACCACUGUUGUAGCGUGGCCGAGCUCUGUAUGGUCCGCAGGUACAGGAAGCUUUUGUUUCCUGUACCCGGCCGGACUAAAAGGAAGUCCACACUCAGUCCGGCCGGGUACAUGCUCCCUGUACCCGCGGACCAUACAGAGCUCGGCCACGCUACAGAGAGGGAGUGACAGGAGGCAGCGCUGAGCGCUUCCCUCCUGUCAGCCCCUCUACUCAUGCUGCGCCCGGGCGGUGCGGUGCGCCCUCAUGGACGCACCAGCCCGGGCAUAGCUGCAGCCGCCUGAGGCUUUCUACAGAGUGCUCGGGCGGCUGCAGCACAUCAACAAUGGUUCCUCCUUCUUUGACUUUAUUUUAUAAAUGAGUUGUUUCCUGGGUAAUUCCCCUUUAAAGGGAUUCUAUAGUGUUAGGAUUACAAACACUAUAGAGCCCUCUGGUCCUAUUUUCUCUCAUGACCCAACCCCUGUACUCACCCGAUUCCAGCGUUGAUGUCCCUCGGUGCUCCACAUUCUCUGACAUCAUCUUGCGAUAGGAGGACUUUUCACUGAUGUUGGAUGUCCUCAUAUAGAGAGUGAAGAUGUCCAACGUAAUUUAGUCUGGUAAACUCCUGGAAGCGUCUCUAGUGACUGUCUCGUAGACAGACACUAGCAUCUGUCUUAAAGCUGCAAUGUAAACAUUGCAGUUUCUCAAAAACUGCAAUGUUUUACAACUGCAGGAGUGAGAUGAAGUGGUCUGGAUGGCUAUAGUGUCCCUUUUAAGCAAUAAGCACCACUUCAACAGCCUUACUUAGUGUCAUGAUAUCCCUAUCCUACAUUCACAAUUAACCUGUCACCAGUUUACACCCUCACAUUGUCCAGCCAAUUAAAUCUUAUAUUUUUAGUUUGGCUUUUCCCUGCCAAUUAAUACCCUACUUUACAUCCAGGUUUAAAUAAUAACAGAGAUGUACAAUGCUAAUAAAAAAUACAGUAUAAUAAAUAAAUGGAAAACCAGCAGGUAAGUAUGGAGAUUAUCUGCUGAAACAAUGUAGAACACAUAUUGGCGCCCCCACUGACCCUUCCUCCAAUUUCUGGUGCUGCCUCCUGCAUUUAUUAAUAACCCUUUACGAUAAACAGCAGAGACAUAUUUGGUUCGUUUUAUUGCUAUACUGGUACAUUAUUAUUACUCUUGGAUAAUCUACGGUGGUUCUUUGUGACAAUGUAGCAAUUUUCGCACCAUUACACAGGAUAACUCUACUUCUAAACAAUGUAUUAACUAAUCUUGAAAUUGUUGCAAAUUAACAAGGGAAUUGCAAAAUAUAAAUGACGCUCAAUCUGUGACUGUCCCCCCAAACUAAUUGCUCUUAACAAUUAUGUAAGAUUCUUUCAAAUUGCUGAGUUUAAAAAAAAACAUUUGUUAUUUAAUUAAACAUUUAUUAUUUUUCUUGUGUAGUCAUGUAUCAUCCUAUCUAAUACUAUGUCUUGUUCUACUAAACGCAACAUACAAAGCUCUCUAUACUUGGUAGCAUAAAAUAUUUAUAUUAUUAGUAGAUGCAUAUAAUCUUCCUAACAUUGCUUAGUAUUACCGAGAAGGAAAUGUAAAUGUUUUAAUCAGUAAAAUAGAAUGUCUGACCAGACCAGAAAUGCAAAAAACAAACAAACACAUAGUUUGCAUAGUUGGUCUUUCUUAGAGUUUUGUUCAUUUAAUUAUGUGUGUUACUUGUUUGGCUAUUCCCAAAGGUUAUUUUGCAUUUGUUUUAAAACAUUGUGUGUAGGUGUAUGUUUGAGAUGGCAUAACAGUGCUCUCUUAUAGAAAAGAUUAAGCGUAACCAGGCCACAGUGUCCAUGUUUUUCAGCUACCUAUGGCUAAAUAACAGGGAUCUGUAAUAAAUAGAUACAAUUUUUUUAAUAUGGCAGCUAACCGUAGGGAGAGUUGUUUUGUUUUUGUUAAAGGACCACUCUAGGCACCCAGACCACUUCAGCUUAAUGAAGUGGUCUGGGUGCCAGGUCCUUCUAGGGUUAACCCAUUUUUUUUAUAAACAUAGCAGUUUCAGAGAAACUGCUAUGUUUAUGAAUGGGUUAAGCCUCCCCCCUAUUCCCUCUAGUGGCUGUCUCAUUGACAGCCACUAGAGGCGCUUGCGUGCUUCUCACUGUGAUUUUCACAGUGAGAGCACGCCAGCGUCCAUAGGUAAGCAUUGUAAAUGCUUUCCUAUGCGACGGGCUGAAUGCGCGCGCAGCUCUUGCCGCGCGUGCGCAUUCAGGCACGGAGGAGGAGAGAAGGAGGAGAGCUCUCCGCCCAGCGCUGGAAAAAGGUAAGUUUUUAACCCUUUCCCCCUUCCAGAGCCGGGCGGGAGGGGGUCCCUGAGUAUGUUUUCCUGGCACUAUAGUGGUCCUUUAAUUCUUAGUGUAGAUGUCGAUGUAGACCUCUUAAAGAGAAGGGUGUGAGCCAUACCACACUCAAAAAGCCUUGGAAGGCCAAAAUGAAUGUCCAAAGUUGCAUGGCUGGCAUUUGGGUUCUGUGCUGCCUUUUUUGGUAGAUUAGGUGUGAAAAUAGUGUAGGUUUCAUCUGCAAUGUAAUUGUUUUAAUCAAUAAAAUAGAAUGUAAUUACCAGUAGCAAAAAAAAAAAUGUCUAAGCAGAAAUGUAAACAACAAAACAAAACUUGAUUAAAUAGAGUCCAACAAGUCAGUCAGCACCCCGCCAUUUAUAAACUUCAACAGCCACUUCUGAUCGCUGUGGCACCAUUCCACAACUAUGGGAAGCCUUUUCCCCCAAGGGCUUAGUUGGUGGCAAGUAGGAGCUCCCUAUUCAUGCUGGUUGUAGCAUGUACUGGGCUGUUGCUGGAUGUCUCAAGCAAAACCCAAACUUGCAAGAGAAUUACAGAGCCUGCUUUGGCAUUGGAUUGCUAUGCCAAGUUGUUACAAUGUCUUGAUGCCUGUCAGCCCAUAGUGCAGUGUGCCAGUCAGUCUCUGUGCCUCAUACCUGCAGUAAUCUGUGUGUACUGGGCUCUUGCUGGGUUUAUUUACAAUUAACCAGUCCAACAAUACUCCUUGUUUGGCCCCAGGCUGGGUGAUCUCUCCUAGGACAUAAUCACACAGGGAUUAGACAGGGUAGGUAUUAGGGUUCAGAUAGCAGCAAUGUGGAUAUGUAUGGUGAGACAAACAGCUUCUCUAUGAAGCAAACAAGAGUCCGUUCACCCUAUAAGUUUAUCACAAUUUCAGGCAAAGGUAUACAUGUGGGGUGUUACGUUAGUUGGGAGUUGCAGCUGUAUACAAAUAUGGGGUCUUUUCAAUUGGGACACACAAGGCCUGUGUAAUUCAUCAUUACCCCCUUCAUGUCUGAGCCUUUUCCUAAAGGUAUGUUUGAUAAUUUUUCCAAGUGUUGGUUCCACUGUAAUUUAACACUUUCCCAUUCUAUAUAUUUUUUUUUUAUUUUUUUUUAAAGGACAGAACGGGUUUUCUUCUGAUGUCCAGUAUGUAUAAUUAAAUGACCAGUAUAGGUAUAAUAAUUAGUUAUUUGAAAUUAAGCUGCUAUGGUGCCAUGAGGUCCCUGGCACUGGCUCACCUUUAGGGUGUAAAUCUUUUAUUGAUUGGUUUAACUCCAAACUCUGUGUUCCAGUGCCAGAUCGCUCUGCCUCCUGUCCUUCCAUUUUCUGAAAUUCUAGAUAACGAAAGGCUCAGGCAGCGUCCGGCAGAGGCGCUACUGACUUGCUUACAGCGGAGAGCUGAUGCUCUAAGCCAGGCAGUAGCUCCCCAUUUAUAAAAGAAGAUACGUACACAGACUUUGGGGUUAAACCGUUUGUGUAAGGUUUAACACCUAAAGGUGAGCCAUCUGCAGGGAUCUCCUGGUGCCAUAACAUCUCAAUUUUGAUAAAGGUGUUGUGGUGUUUGGAUUGUUCCUUUAACACAGUAUUAGUUCUUAACAAAAUACUAAAAAAACAAACACUUUUUUGUAUGUAUACAUUUGAGAUAUGCAACGGUGUAGCAUUUUGAUAAAUUUAUUAAAAAGUUUCUAGAGGGCAGUCAGGCUUGGUCUCUUUAAAAGUGCUGCUUAUAAACUUGUGUAGUCUGUGAUAUUGGAACUUAAGGAUGAAUAGAAUUUAUUUGAUAUCCUGCUGUUUAAGGCUCCCAGGGGAUCUAUGGAUGAAUAGGUGGUCUAUGCAAAAGGUCCCCUGUAAAUCUGUCAGGCGUUAAGUCUUUCAGAAUAAGCCAUUAGGUCAUCUAGCGGGGCCUUAGGUGUCGGGAUGGAGCUAAUUGGUUAAGCAUGAUGUGGCCUGUAACACACGUUCAUGAUGGCUGCUAGUUGAGUGCACCUAUAUAUGAGCUUAAUCCAAGGUGGGGGGUAGCCAGGGGAUGGAGGACAACGAACUCCGCACCUUUAGUUGCUCCAGGUUAACCCAUAAAUUUUGCACAGCAGCAGUGGCCCACUUCACGAGACACAGUAGGUGAAAGGCUCUAUAGUAGUUAACAUUGCAAGACCACCAGCUCUUCUAGAUUGUGUGAGGGUGCUAAAUUUUAACCUCAGGGGUUUAUACUCAAAUGCAAAAUUCAUGAAUACUGACUUCAUCUCUGUGAAGUAUUGAAAAAGGUAAAGCAAACGGAAGGGAAUGCGACCCAAUGGUAAUGUUUAGGAGUGCCCAUCAUGCUAGGUCUUCCUUUAGAGUUUGCAAUGGUGGGUGGGGGGAGAAUUGUUAUUGAACAAAUGUUUGGUAGUCAACAUGAGCUGUAUACCAAAAUAUAUCAAGCUAGUGGUUUUCCACUGAAAAAGAAAGGACUGUGAUAAUUGCCCAUGCAGUUUAAUUUUGGAUGCUCUGUCUCCAUGUAUCAUACUUUGACAUAUUCAUUUUUAAGAUUGCUUAGUGCACCAUAUCUUUUAUAUAUGGCCCUGUCCAUCUAAGUAUUUGGGGUCCUAAGCCGAUAUGUUUUAAAGUAGAGAAAAGGAAUGAAGGUGGACCCUAUCAAAGGCCUUCUCCAUGUUUUUGUAGAGGAGGAGCGCUGUAUUGGGCAGGAAUGUUGCCCUAUGUAUUGAAUUGAUUACUCUGGUGGUUCCAUCCGUAUCCGCUUCCUAGGACAAAACCCAUCUGGUCCGGUCUGAUUAAGCGUGGCAUAGACUGUUUAAGACAGUUAGCUAAAAAUCUGUAUGGUUUUAGAGCUGUGAUGGCUGCAAUAAGGUCAUGGAGGUGGAACGAGGCUCCCUGCACGACUGCUUUGCAUAAUGUUAGACAUGGUGUUGUAAGAAACUUGUAACUUCUAAUAGUCAGGCCAUCAGUACCCAGAGCUCUGCGAUGUAAAGUGAGCUCCAAAGCAGCCUGUAGCUUGUCCUGAGUGACAGCGGCCUCUAAUCUCUCUCUGUCAGCUGGGACUACGGAGGCAGUGCUCUGUGUUGAGAGGUACUUGUCAAUGAGGUCUUGAGGUGCUAAUGUGUCUGCCAGCUGGAAAGGAUUCGGAAUAUUGUAUAAGGUGAAAUAAUACUCUCUGAAGAGAGCGAGCAUGCCCGCAGCUUCAGGGAAACUUAUGCAAUUCCCUGGUGCACACAUCUCCUCUAAUUGCUUCCAUGUUCCCAAAAUGAUAGGCAAAGAAGAGCCCAGGCGCACAGCAGUGGUUUGAAGGAGGUGAAUACAUCAGGGUAAAGCAACAAACUAUCUCUGUAGCUGCUAUGUAGGCUUCACAAAUCUGUUGCCAGUAGAAAUCUCUGCAUUGCCAUGGUGCGAGGAGUUUGUCGAAAUGAACUACGCAAUUUACACUUAAGCGCAGGGCUCCUGAAAGAACAGGACACAGGAUGGUGACCACCUUUACCUCUGCCUAAAAUAAAUCAAUAGUCUCCCCGUCAACCAGUUGUGCCAAGCACUGUUGAAGUACUCUUGCAUUGGCAGACAUGUGGCAGCUGACAUUUUUAGUGUCACUUCAGAGGUGGGGCCUCAGAGAGCAAAUCAGAAUGGUGGAAAAGAGGUCCCCAAUCAGGAUUGUCCUGCCAGAUUAAGGAUUGUUAAUAUAUGCUACCAAAUUGGUAUUGUAGUCCUAGAAAAAGUGGAUUUACACUUUAAUAUUUUAUUAUUUUGCUAUUCUUUGUGUGUGGGUGCUAGUAUGAAAUUUUGUGGGUGCAACUGUGUUUGUGCAUUAAAUUGUGUCAAUGUGUGUAUGCAUGUUAAUAGUGUGCAUCUGUGUAUGCUUAUCAGUGUGAAUCUAUGCUUGCAAGGUGUUUCUGUCUAUGCUGUGUAUUAGUCUGUCUAUCAGGGUUAACAAAAGUGAGAAUUGUAUGGCAUUGAAAGUAAAUUUUAAAUGUAAACUGCAAAAGUGUAAAGUUAACUUGGAGAUUGUUUUCAAUUUGGAUGCUUUGACUUUAAAUUUGAAGUUUACUUUACGUUCCCAAUAAUUCUUACUUUACUAAAUGAUCUUGUAUGUAUACUUAUCAGGACGAUGCACUUGCGCUACACUUUUUUGGAACAGUUCCACGGUAUCCCCAAAAGCGGGACAACAGGGAACAAAGUCGGGAUGGUGAGAAAGGACCUUAAUAUCUGGACUGUUCCCUUGAAAUUGGGAUAGUUGGGAGGCAUGUAAUUAGGUUGUGUGUCAAGUUAUGUAUGUGCCAAUGUGUGUGUGACUCAUACAUAACUUGACACACAACCUAAUUACAUGCCUCCCAACUAUCAUGUAUGGAAAUCGACAACUCUAUGUCUAAUUUUAAAGGUGUAUAUGUGUGUCUUAUUAUGGAUGUGUUUGUAUGAAUGAAGGGGGCUGUAUAGGAUGGGUAUCCUGAUGUGCUGGGCCAUCUGGAUGAAACACUGGCUGGCUGAACAGUUUUGCAAACUGUUCUUUUACAUGUGUUUUUUUUUGUUUUGUUUAUAAGCCUUUUGUUCCUUUCUGCUAUCUUUAGAAUCUUUACAUUCUAUCUGUCUUCUUUUCUUGCUCAUAUCCCAGCUGUAUCCCCUACCCCUCUCGUCAUUUUAUUUUGCCCAUCUAUUUUUUCUUUCUUUACCCUUUAAAAAUUGCGCGAAGACAUUUUUAGUUAAGAUUAUUUUGAAUAUGCUUUAAUUUGUACAUUCUUGCUUCGGUUGCAUAAUAAAAAUUGAAAUUGGAAAAAGGUCAUAUUUCAUAGGAACUUGCUACUUUCUGCUUCACAGUGUAAAAGAGUUUUACUGCGUAAUUCCUUAACAGCUAAAAUGAUUGGCACAUCAGUGUGCAGUAUACUUUUGCUGGAUCUGUAAAGUCCAAAGAUAAUGUGAGCUCUGAGAUACUAUAGCUAGGAGUCAUUAGCACUUUGGUAACUGUGGGGAACACUGAUGGAAUAAGUGUUUUUACCAUUUCUAUAGUGCCAACAAAUUCUCGGUCUCUGAUUACAUUAAGUAAAUACAGGGAAUUAAAAACUCAUUUUGAUAGACAAAAAAAAACCCCAACAACAAUAUAGUGUAUUAUUGGAGCACUAAAUCUGCAAUUUAGUAGAUAAUUGAACAUGUGAAAUGCAAGAGGUAAAUCCUGUUUUUUAGAAAAUGAACAGGAUAAAUAUAAUUUGCAGGGUUUAGAUAUUAUUGAAAUUAGUGUUUGAUAAACAAACAUCUUUAAAUAGGGAAAAUGUGAAAACGCAUUGUGUAAAUUGUGCAGGAAUGUUGUAGUAAGUUUCAGAGGUACGUCUUGCACGUGAGGGGGAUUUGAUAACUUAAGUAAAAAGCAGGGUGACACACUCUCUCUUCAUGAACCACAAACUGUUGAUGUACGUUGAAGACUGAAACAUUUCUUUAAGAAACUUAAACAGGCCCUGUGUUUGGACUGAAUGUAACCCUUGUGAUAUCAAAUGGGGCGUGGUAGACGCUGAACACUCCCCAUAGAGAUGCAGUGAUUCAGUGCAUCUCUGAGGAGAUACUGUUUGGUACAGAGCUGUGUUUUGCUGUGCAGUGGCUGUAGCGGACCACAGGUAACUCGACCGGCUACUUCCGCUAAUAUCUUCCUUCAGCCUGCUCAGGAACCACUUAAAGGACCUAGACACCCAUUCCCCCAGUAACUGGAUGAGACACAGCUCUGGGGUACAACUGACAAUGCUGUAUUGAUACAGCUUAAUUUUAUGCACAGACCCUGAAAGGGGUCUCCGUUCUGUUCAGCACAAUCCCAGGGUGGAGGGGAAUGGUUUACAGAUAACCUUCUCCCGCUCUGGGAGAUACCAAUUGCACAACAAUUGGUAACAGUAAAACCCAGUACAUACAUUGGGGAGAUUUAGGGCUUUAGGGCUCUGCGCCCCGGGAAGGGAAUGACCAAUCGGCGCUCGGGGAGGAGAGGGGUUUUGCCUUCCAAUCAGGAGAAAGGGCACGAAACACGUUUGCGCCAAUCGGUGCUCAGGAAGGAGAGAGGGGUUUCACCACCCAAUCGGGAGAAAGGGUGCGAAAACAAUUGGCACCAAUCAGCGCUCAGGGACGGGAGGUGUUUUGCCGGCCAAUCGGGUACGGACGGACUUCCAGGCAGCCAGCUGGACUCUGCGGUGGUGAGGCCGACUCCUAGUUCCAGGGAUUCUCGUCUCUCUCUCUGGUGGAUAUCGCCACUAGCCCGGGUAGUGAUCAAGCUCUUUUAGGAUUAGGUUAGGGUGAUCCAAAUCGCCAGUACCCCAGAAGGUACCCCCACCAACAUCAUGGACCCAUUCAUGGAGUCCCGGUGCGAAAGCCCCUGCAAGGGAAGCGUCUCUUUUUGGGAUACGAAUGCCACCCAGGGUAGCGCUCAUUAAUUAUUUCCCUUGCAGUUUCACACGUAGGUUGCAGGUGCCAAUGUUCUGAUUAAUUGGUGUGAAUGUUUCACUCGGGUACUGGGGUGGUCCUUUCCAUGCGUAGGACUGCCCCCGCAUGGUAAGCAGGCAUAUUACUCGAACUGUAUAGAAAUACAUGGGAAAACACAGAGGAAACACACAAUAUAAAAGGAAAUCCAUAAAUAGGCAGUGGUUCUGCCACGGUAGCCUCUCGAUGCUUUCCAGUGGGAAAACAUUGGAUUGGCUGAGAUUAUAAAAUUUGAUGAUCACAGCCAAGGAGGCAUGUCUGAGCUGGAGAUAUGGUGAGCAAAACCACCUUUAAGACUGGGAAAAGGGGAGGCUCGGCCACCUAAACUGUACUAUAAAAAAAAAUAGUGUCAGGAAUCCCCUUUGUAUUCCUUACACUAUAGUGUUUUAAGUCACGUGUGCUUGGUGUGUAGAUUAGUGAUGUGGACUCCUUUCUUUGAUCUAAGAACAUGAUUCUUAUAUUAUAAGGCCUCAAAUGUUUUAUUAUUGUCCUUAGGCACAGCAUGGGGGGUCUCUGUGAAGGUGUUGUCAUGCAGACACAGCAAUGCUCUGUAAUCAAGGGGGUUUUCCUUCCUGCCAGAACAGACAACAAUGCCAAACACAACAAAAGAGACAGAGAAUUCAGGUUACAAAAGCAGUUCAGGUAAACCCUGUCGAUCAUGUGCCAAAAUUAUGACCACAUGCAUGACUUUUUCAAUUAUAGUCCCAUAGCUGACUCUAUUCUACAAGAUGGAACCCCUACCACGGUGCUGUGGAUAUAACAGAAGGUAGUGGUGGGGGUUAAUGGCCCAAAUACUAAUAAUUUUUUUAAAAUCAAGUCAUACAGUAUUCUACACAUUUCACUGUAACUAGAAACCACAGGGUCCUGGUGCGAAAAGUUCCAUGGGGCCCCCACAUGCAUCUCCCCCUCCCCCACCUCCAUUUGUAUAACACAUACAGAUAUAUACACAGAUACACAGAAUGACACUUCUACAGAUACAAAUACUGACACACAUGCGGAUACACAGACAGACAGAUCCACAUACAGGCACACAUGUAGACAAACAGAUACACAUACAGAAACACACACACCCAGAUAUACUGAUACAGACAUUCUCUAUCACACACACAAACUUAAAAAUAUUUAGUGAUUUCCCUGGGGUCCAGUGGCUGCCUCAUGCUGAUGGGAGUCAGAGCUCCCACUCUGACUCCCUCCUGUCCGGCGCUCUGUUGGUUGGGAGGAAUUGACGGCUUCCUCCCAGCUCUGACAUCACCGGGUCCCGGUCGCGCUCUUAAAACGCCGCAGCGCUGACUGGGCCCCAGGAAAUCUAUUGCCAACCGAUGAGCUCCUUCAAUGCGGCCUGGCAGUUUUUCCGUGUGGUGGUGGCUGAACCAAAAUGCUGGCAGUCACAGGGGUCCACAGGGCAGCUGGGCCCCUUGGAGUGAUGGCCCGGUCGCAGCUGCGACCCCUGCAGUUCCGCCAGUGGAUGUAUGCCUUGUGUGACGGGAGAAACACAGUUCUUGGGAUUUAAAAGCUGCACAGGCAAAAGAAUAAUGCAUAGCAUUAUUGCUAUUAUCAGGGCUCCUUCACAGAAAGAAAUUUGGAAAAUGUGCUAUCUGCAUAAAUACUAAGGAGUUUCCACUGCACUAAAAUGCUUGUUUCAAUCUAGUGGUUAAAAUUAUUACUCAAAGCAACACGACCACUUGAGUGUUUUGAAUUGGUCAUGAUUCUUGUAGUCUGUAUGUGCAACAUUUCAGUUUGAAACACUGCCCUCAUCGAUAUAGCACCCAUUGCAGUGUUAUUAGAUGUUAAUUCUUUCCAUAGUGAGCAACUAUCAUCCGCAUAGAAUGCUUGAGAUAGUUUAUCUGUGGCGGCACGAUUGACUCCUCAAUACAUCCUUCGCUUUCCAGUAAAGGAAAGUGAUAUCACAGGAGGAGGAUCAGGCAGCCUGGAAAACUUGGCCUUGCUGUGGAUCCGAGAGAAUCAUUUUUUUUUUUAAAUACCCCUCCUCUAGAUCUGAUAGGCUGUAACCGGCCUUUGACCCCAAAGGCAGGUUUGCAUAAUUGCUGAUCAGCAUUAACCCUUCUGUGGAUUUGGUUGCUGCUUGGCACAACUUUCCUGUGUGGACAGUAAAUGUCAUUAACCACAUUUUUAUAAGCAGAUGAAUAUGUGUCACUAAGGAGUUGAAUUUCACAGUCUUUGCCACGUGGUGAUAUAGGUAUAUAAACCUGAGAGAGGGAAGUGGAUGACUGACUUCCACAAAUAUGUCCUUUGAAAAAUGGCUGCCAUAAUCCUUUCUCUUUGGCCGUUCGAACUUAAACCAAUAUAGACCAAUCUGCAAGGACAGGUGAUUUUGUAUAUAACAUAUGUUGUCACGCAUGUAAUGCGAUGUCUGAUCUUAAAUUCCUUGCCAGAUCUGGGAUGGGAAAUUGACUUGGAAUUGUCAUGGAAUUGUAGGCAGUACAGUUCAGACACUGAUAUCACCCAGUGUUUGCGUUGGCAGAUUUUAUUCUUAAUAAGUGAAUAUUUGUCUGUAUGCAGCAGUCUGUCCCUUAGGUUGGACCCUUUCCGAUGACUAAUCAUAUGGGGAAGUUUAAAUAUUGGAGGCAAAAACACAUCUUUCCGGAGUAUCUCCCAAUCUUUCGCAAUAAUGCCUGCCAACGCAGGAGAAUUUGUGUGGAAGGCUUGUGGAAAUACUAGCCGAUCUCCUGUUUUCUCAGAAUGCUUUAAAGGUUCAUUGAAACUUUGUUAUGGCUGCUGAUAAGCACGUUUCAAAAUUUGUUUUGUAGAGUCCCAUUCGAGAAACUUCUCAUACAUUGCCGCUACCUGUGCAUCUGAACAAGUUUCAUCAGAAUUGUUGCGUAAUACCAUUAGGAAUUACAGUUUAGGUAGAGACUCCUUCAGUUUCUUCGGGUGAAAACUGGAUGCAUGUAACUGGGUAUUAUGAUCAGAGUGUUUAGAGAACAGCGUGUAGCCAAUGCUGCCCUCAAUGAAAAUCAGUAAAUCCAGAAAUUCUAUUGGAUCAUGCCUAUAACGAUAGGUGAAUCUCACUGGUGAUUGCAUUCUCACGUCCAGAUCACAAAAACAUAGUUGAUGUAGCGCAGGUAUUUGAAAAUAUGACCCAUAUUUUGACAGUAUGUAUUCCUGUUCAUAAACUUAAAGUAUGGAUUAGCUUAGAGGGAGACCAUUGGUGCCCCCAUUGAAAUGCCAGUUUUUUUGAAUAUAGAAGAAACCAUCAAAUUGGAAGUAGUUCAAGGUGAGGCAUAGCCUGAACAUCUUUAAGAUAAAGCCCUAAGGUGGGCUUGUCUAUUCCUUGUAGUUUUGUAGCAGAUUUUACAUCACCUGUAUACCUGUUUGAUGUGGAAUUAUGGUAUGCAGGAAACUUGCAUACAUCGCAGCCAAUAUGAUCUCUUGUUCAAUGAAUUUGCCCGAAUAAAAGCAAUUUAGAAUUCAAAAUCUUGUGAGUGCGCUCUGUUAAUGUCUGAAGAAAUACUAAUCAAUAUGAUAGUAGGAACAACACUGAUGUUAGAGGAGGGGAGUGAGUGGGGUAUCAUGAAUAGCAAAAGAUGUGCCUGAGAGGGAAAGGUGCAGAUUGGUUGAGGAUAGCCAGAACAAGUAAAUAAACAGAGAAGAGUCAACAUCAUUUGACUUAAAAGGACUCUCCAGUGCCAGGAAAAUUAUAUCCGUUUUCCUGACACUGCAGUACCCCUCUACCUCCCACCCCCAUCCCAUGUUGCUGAAGGGGUUAUAACCCCUUUAGUGAUUUACCUGAAUCCAGUGCCGAUGUCCCUCGGCACUGGGUCAGGCUUCGCCAAUGCUCCUCCCCUGCCAGCUGGCGGGGGAACCUAAACUGUUAUAAUUACACUUGCUAGGUUAAGGGUGGUGGGAGUUGGCACCCAGACCACUCCUAUGGGUAGAAGUGGUCUGGGUGUCUGGAAUGUCCCUUUAAGUAUUAAACUAUCAUAUUGAUCAAUAGUUUUUUAGACCAGAGGAAGAGAGGAAAACUCUUGAAAGCUUAUCUUUUAAGUGUUAUGUUAGUCCAAUAAUAAAGGUAUCAUUGCUUACUGCAAUACUCUGGUAUUUUGGCAUUUAAACUACUAUAAGCAUAUACAGAUAAUUACAAAAGUAUCUAAAACAAACCUAACCAACUGAAUUGUUUGUAAUUGUACUUGCAUCAUCUAAAAUAAGUAGAGGAACUACCCCACAUUAUUGCUAUUCCUCUAUCCUAUUGAUAGGGUUAAGUAAAAAAAAAAAAAAAAGACAGAAUUUAGUCUAAAGUUUAUUGAGGCUCUAUUUAAUAUUUUAGGAGAAACUCUUUGAAAUUAUUAUUCUUUUCUAAUAUUAAAAUCUCAAAAUAUUUUAAUAUAAAAAUAUCAAAAUACAAACUGAAUAUUUUUAAAUUAUAUUAAAUCAUUUAAAAGGUUUAUAAAAGAUAUUAUUGUUCAACAAAUAUACAAUUUUACAAUGCAUUGUUCAAUACCAAUUUUUAUUAUUAACCAUUAUUUUGGCUCUACUAGUGUUCAUUUGCACAUUCACAAGACUUAAUACCUAACCAAGUUUAUUUUGUUAACCUUGGAUAGCAGGAGAUUGCAUUUCUGACACCCCUUCAUAUUGAUUCAACUUAAAAGUUGAAUGGAAUCCUGAUUUGCUUCAGUGAUCUUUGUUCUAUGAGAAACUGUGAUCUAUUGCUUCUUUAUUGAUCCUUUCUUACAGUUCAUGUAAUGUAGUUUUUCAUAAGUUCAUGACUAGUGCAUUUUUACUGUACAUUCUGUAUGACAUAAAUAGAAGCGGUGGUGAUCAUGAUGUGGAAACUAGGAAAAUUGUACUUUAAUCUUUCAUUCAAAUUCAUUACUUUGUGUUAUCAGGAAGUAAAACUGUACCUCAAAUUUAUUUUGAUUAUAUUGCAUUAUAGACCUUGAAAUGUUUUAUUGACAAUUACGAUAUAGAAGAAAAGCAUUUUAUAGCAGGGAAUUUUAUGGAAUAUCUAAUAUGAAGUUUUAUGCUUCACAAUACAUCAUAACCUUUUUUUUUUUUUUUCCCAAUAUGGCCACACCUUGCCUAAUUUGUCAGAUUAAGCUAUUUUAUUUGCUUUUGUAAAAUGUGCGAAAUGUUUGCCUCCUGUGAGCCAGGUUUUCCUCAUAAUGGCAGUGUUCUUACAUUCCCUGUACUGCAGCAAGGCUUAUAUUUUAAUGUUCCGUCCUAAACAUUUUUGCAGGUUGAUAACCCUGGUUGGUUAGUUGUGCAAAGAUUAUCUGCAGACCUGUGCACCUCAGAGCUUAAUGUCCACGCCAGACACUCUUGAUACUGGCCUUUUUCAGUAUUGACAGUGGCAUGGCCACCAACCACUUCGAUAAGCCAGUAAAGAUGAACAGGGAUGGUAAAAAUGAAAUGAAAAGAGGAGAAUAGCUUGGAAGGAUAGGACUGUCGGUGGUUAUGGUGUUUGGGGUGUUCCUUUAAGUACAAAUUAAUAAAUGAAUUAAAAGUGUAGAUUAGCGCAAUUAUAAUUUUAUACACUGUGUUAAUGAUGAAUCAUGUUUGAAAUCCGUGUUAUGCUUUUAUUUUUGAAGAGCGCUUGGUAGUGAAUGGGUUAUAUUGUGAUGGGAAGAAAUGCCUUGGAAUUUUUUUUUUAGUUUACAUCUGAAAGUGGAUGGUUCUGCAUUUCAUAUUUAUUAAUGGAAAGAGUUCCAGAGUUUUUUCUACCUAGUAUGGAAGAUGAUUGGUCUUGAUAAUGAGUCCCUUGUGGAAUGACAAAAGGUAAUCAUAAUCUUUAACCCCUUAAGGACCAAACCUCUGGAAUAAAAGGGAAUCAUGACAUGUCACACAUGUCAUGUGUCCUUAAGGGCUUAAAGGAUCACUAUAGUGUCAGGAAAACAAACUUGUUUUCCUGACACUAUAUAACCUCCCUUGGCGCUGAAGGGGUUAAAACCCCUUUAGUUACUUACUUUAAUCUAGCGCCAGGCUCCCGCGGUGCUGGUGACUUCUCCUCCCCCGCCAACGUCAACUCCCGAGUUGAGUGGAAUGCGCUUGCCGCACGCAUGCAAACAGUGCAUAGGAAAGCAUUUCUCAAUGCUUUCCUAUGGACGUUCUGAACGCUGAAUGCGAUUUUCGCAUCCAGCGUCACAGAAGCGCCUCUAGCAGCUGGAUUUACCCUGCAAUGUAAACAUAGCAGUUUUUCUGAAACUGCUAUUUUUACAUCUGAAGGGUUAAAACUUGGGGUACCUGGCACCCAGACCACUUAAUUGAGCUGAAGUGGUCUGGAUGACUAUAGUGUCCCUUUAACCCCUUAAGGACCAAACUUCUGGAAUAAAAGGGAAUAAUGACGUCACACAUGUCAUGUGUCCUUAGGGGGUUAAAUCUAGUGAGCUACUUUGUAUAGCUUCUUGUGUUCAAUGGCAAAGAAUUUGAUAGUGCCACAUUUCACUAGUAGCCAGUGUUGUACUGAAAGUCAAGUAGCUUAUAAAUGACUCCAGGAAAACCUAUUUCCAUUAAUACGUGUUGCACUGUUAUAUACCCAUUUUAUUACAUUUUUUAUUUUUUUUUAGGUUGGAUUUUGUGUUCCUAAAACUAUUUCUAACACUAUAUUGUCCCUCUGCCCCCACCGUGAAAAGGGUUAAAAAGCAAAACCUUUUAACGCAUACAUUGUUCUUUUAAAUUACACGUUUAUAGGCAGGGCCUAUAAAACUUGGGCAACGUAUAGAGUAUCAGAGUAUCUAUCUCUGUUAUGCAUUUUUUAUUUACCAUUAUGUAUAUGAAUUCAGUGGACACUUUAUUAGGUAUAUAUUUUCAUUAACACAAACUGCCAGAUGUAGAAUUAUUUGAGUGCAACCAAUAUACAAAUUGUCACUUGUGUAAUUUUUUUUUUUUUUUAACAAAUACUACUCACAGGCACUUCUUGCGUGUAUGCACUUCACAUAAACUCAGAACAGCUUAGAAUCCAUUUACACAUAUUGUGAAAAAGGCUUGCAUCCAUCCAGUUUAGCCUUUUACACAUGCGUUUCGGCUGUUGAUCAUGAAGAAGGCAAAUACGCAGUAUGAAGCGCUUUUUAAUUUUGCAACAAACUAGGAAAAAAUAAAUCGUGCUCAGCCUCAGAAUGGCAGUUGGAUCUUUCCUUUGAUCAAUAAGCUGUUUCUCAACUGUUAAAUAUUAUAUCCCUAAAUAUUGUUUUUUCAAGAAUUAAUCCAGAACCGUUUAAACAUAUGUACAGACUCUGAUAAAACCACCUCUUCAGGCAGAUAAUCCCCCAUCUUUAUUGUUCUAUUUGUAAAGAACCAUUUACUCUGCCUUAGACUAAAUCUCCUUUCUUCCAGUCUAAAUGGGUGACCAUGUCCUAUGUAUAGCCCUGUUUAUGAAUAGAUAUUCAGACAAUGGUUUGUAUUGGCCUGAAUAUAUUUAUAUAAAGUUACCAUAUCCCCUCUGAGGCAUCAUUUUUCUAACUAUAUUUAAGUUUGUUUGCUUUUCUUCAGAAGUAAAAUCUUCCAUUUCCUGUAUUGAUUAUGCAGCCUGCUUCUGUACUUGUUUUACUGCAAUAAUAUAUUUUAGAACGGGUGCCUAACAUUACAUGACAUAUUUAAUGUAUGGUCUUAACAUUGAUUUCUGAAGAGGUAAAAUUAUGUUUCUCCCAUAGAAUUAAUGAUUAUUUUAUGCAUAACAAUAUCUUCCUUGCCUUAGUAGAUGCUGGUUGACAUUGUUACCUAGUUUGAUAUCUAUAACUAAUUAUUUCCAUAUCCUUUUCAUGUGUUGAUUUCCCUAACUUAUUACCAUUUUGCAAACACUUAUACAAAGUAUAAAAAAACAAGCUCCAAAACUAUGUGAGUAAUAUGAAUAGAUAACAUUUGGUAUAACAUAUACCAGUCUAAUAUCACAGAUAAGCAGGAAGUACGUUAUUCCAAUCUACAAAAUGAAGCACAGUCACAUGGAUUUUCACCCCAUUUAGGGAGAAAAGCCUGCAUACUUCUACGUCUCAUGAGAGCUCUCACUUCCCCUCCCCCCCCUGUAUUUAAUGUAUUACACUAUAUGCAGUUUCUGUUUUUUUUUUUUUUUUCUUCCAGAUCUGUGGUAUAUGUUCAUAUUACUCAGAUAUUGUUUUGGAGCUUGUUUACUUAUACUUUGUAUGUGUUUGCUUGAUUUAGUUUUAGUGGUGUUGUGAGGUUCACCAUAGAAGCUCCUGCUAUAUCCUUUACUCCUCCUACAGUGACUUAUCUCCUGUUUUUAUUACCAUUUAGGGUGUAAAUUGUGUAUCUACAUUAAAUGUAAUCUGCCUAGAGUGCCCUGUCCCCUAAUCAUGUAUCUAGAUCCCUUCACACUGUAGAAGUAUCCUGCUCAUAUGGCAAUACCUUACCUAGUUUUGCGUCAUCUACAAACACUGAAACAUGACUUUCGAUUUUUAUUUCAAGAUUUAUAAAUAAGUGUGUGUGUGUGUGUGUAUAUAUAUAUAUAUAUAUAUUUUUUUUUUUUGUGUGCAGGUGGUUACAGGGUAUCAACAGACGCCACAACAGCGUAUUUCAAGAUUCACAAAAGUUAGACAGUGGCAUGGGAAUUUGCACAUUUUUACAUUUUUAGCAAGCUCAACUAAACAACUAUAUUGUCAGAGCAAGACUAAGUAGAAUGAAAUUGUAUAAAAUGAUAAACUCCACAACAGUGUAAGUCAGGUUUUGCAAGAGACAGACAGUGGCUUGGUUAUUCGCACAUUUUCCUUUAUAUAGAUUAUAAGCCUGACGAAAACAGCGUUUAUAAAUAUAUUAAGUAGAAUCGUUCCCAGAACAGAUCCUUGAUGACACUUUUCCCAGUUUAAAUAAUUACCAUUAAUGACAUCUCUCUGUAUUCUAUCUUUAAAGGGACACUCCAGGCACCCAGACCACUUCUGCCCAUUGGAGUGGUCUGGGUGCCAACUCCCACUACCCUUAACCCUGCUACUGUAAUUAUUGCAGUUUUUUUUAAACUGCAAUAAUUACCUUGCAGGGUUAACUCCUCCUUUAGUGGCUGUCUACUAGACAGCACUUCUGGGAUCAUAGCACAGAUUAUCUGUGCUAUAGUGUCUCUGGACGUCCUCACACUAUGUGAGGACCUCGAGCGUCUCUAAGAUCCUCAUAGGAAUGCAUAAAAAAAAAAAAAAUUCAAUGCUUUCCUAUGGAAAGGUCUAAUGCCGCGCAUGCGCAUUAGGUCUCUCCAGCCGGCGGGCGUGAUCAGUCUUCCCCGCUGGCUGACGUGAUGAAGGGGAGGAGUGGUGGCGGAGGAAGCAGCAACGUGGGACAUGUCGCUGCCUCUGGUAAGUGACUGAAGGGGUUUUCACCCCUUCAGCAACCGGGGAUGGGUGGUUGGAGGGAGAGAGGACCUGCAGUGCCAGGAAAACGGAUUGUUUUCCUGGAACUGGAGAGUCCCUUUAAAUAAACGUUUCCAACAAAAUUUUCAUCUAAACCAAGGUCUUUUAAUUUGAAUACAAACCUUUUGAGUGUAACUGUGUCGAACACAUUUUCAAAAUCCAAGUAGAUCACAUUCAUUGCAACACUCUGAUCUUUACAUCUACUCACGUCUUUGUAGAAUGUAAUCAAGUUAGACAUGAUCUAUGUUAAAUAAAACCAUGUUGAUUUCUGCUAAUGACAUUGUUGUUCCCAACUAAUGCUUGAAUAUUAUCCUUUAAUAAUAAUUUAAAUAUUUUCCCAGCCAUAGAAGUUAAGCUCACAUCUAUAAUUUCCAUGGAUAUAAGAACCUCAUCUGCCUUUCUACAAUACUUUGGCGAUUUUUUUAAAGAAAUGUAUAGUGAGAAAUUAAAAAGCGAAGUUUGCUUAUUUCCAGACUUAAAGGGAAGCACUCUCACUGCUAUUUAUGAGUUUAAAACCUGGUAAUCUAAAUCGUGCAGGAAACUCUGUGUUAGGAAUACAUAUUUGUAUAACGCUAGAGCAGGGGUUCCCUAUUAAUUUUUCCCAUAGGACCCUUUGACAUAGCGUACCAACAUCGUGGAAUCCCAGAGAAAAACAUUUGCGUUGUAGUACAAACCUUUUAAUUAACAGAGCGUACGGUUUUCUUUUUUGGCACAUUUCUGCAGAUCGUAAACAGACUCUACUACUUGGUAGCAGGUGUGCUUCUGUGUGUAGAGUUGGUGUUUGUAUAUAAUUUUAGCAUUUUCAUACAGGGGUGUGUUUGUAUGUUAUGCUUGCAUUUACAUGCAAUGGUGUGUUUGGAUGUAGUGUGGGAUUUUAAAUGUGGAUGUACAUUUGUGUGUACUAUUGGUGUUUGAGUGAAGAGUGUGUUUGUAUAUAAUUUUAGAGUUGGAUUUCAGGGGUGUCUUUGUAUGUCAUGUUUGUGUUUACAGAGGUGUAUUUGCAUGUUGUGUUGGUGUUUGUUGGGAUGUCUGCACAUACACAGAUAUACAUACAUAUUAAACAGAAACACACACAAAUGCACACACUGGUACAUAUACACACUGACACCCCCCACCACUGGCACAAAGAUACACACUUGAACACAGAUACAAACACUGCCAGCUACCCAUACUGACACAGAUACAUAGAGUGACACAGAGAUACACACACAAGUAUUAGCAGUCAUCCUCCUGUUAAUUACCUUUUUUUCAUGUAGGAGUGUGACUUGCUUGGAGUGCAGGCUGGUGUGCUGCUCACUCCUCCCGUCUCGCUCUGUCUGGGAGGAAGUGACAGGCUGCCAGCUCCUCCCAGCAUCCCACAUUACAGGGGCGCAGUUGAGGGCCCCUGUUCAGCGAUACCGAUCAGUUGGCUUGAAAUACAUGGGCAAAUUACUGCGGAACUCCAUGUUCCACGAAACACUGCUCUAGAAUGUUCCUUUAACUCCUUUAAAAGGUUUCUUAAAAAAAAAAAAAAAAAAAACUGCCCUCAGACUCCUUGCACUAGAACCACUACUAUAAGAUGUAGUGAUUAUGGUGUACAUUUAAGUGUUCAUAUUGUACAGUGAAACAUCUAGGAGCAAUAUUGCUCAAAAAAUUCUGUCCAGACUUAAAAUAUUCCCAUGUUGUACAAGCUAAAGGUAAUAGUGGACAGUGCCAAGUAGUGGCUCGAGCAGCACAAAGAUCACUUAGCUGGGAAUCUUGCGUAAUCAUUCAUGAUUCAAAAUCUCUGUUUGACAAACUUGGUUUUGGUGGAAGGAAAAAAAAACUAUAAGCCUUUUUGUAUAGAGUUGGCACUAAGACUAAGGAAUAAUAGCUGGAGUGGUUUUCAUGGUUAGCUCCAUGCCCCCUACUUCUAGUGCAAUUACAUCUUAACACAUAUAUAACUUUCUAGGCAAGGUACUUUAACUUGGGAUUUUUGAGAAAGGCCUUUCUUUUUUGGACUAUGCAGGAAUGACUUGUCAAGAUCCAUGUGAAAAAAAUUUACUGACCCACAAGUACCUUUUGUGAUGAAUUGUAAUGCCAACUAAAGCCCAGGCCUAAUUGCCCAACUAAACUGACCUCACUGAUUCUCAGAAAAUUGCUGCAGUAAUAUUCCAAAAAACACUUGGAAAUAUAUCCUAUAAGACUCAAGGCUAUUAUAGCAGCAAAGAUGGAUUAAGUCUAUAAUAAUGCCCAUAGGUUUCGGAGAGAGAUGAGCAAUUACAUGCUUUUGACUGUGUAGUAUAUAAUUUGUAUGUGUGCUGUUCGAGUAUGGCCUGUUUAGUUAGUUUUUUUUUUUUUUAAGUUUAGAUACUUUCUCAUUUGCAAAUAAAGUAGGUCUUCUCAGGGACACUACCAGUUAGGAACUGCUCUACUUGUCAAACCAGUUUUUGGAAGUUCCCAUUUUUAUUGGUAUUGUCUCUUUGCAGGAAUUAAACCCUUUCUACUACAUGUAGCUAUGCAGUAAACUACAGAUUAAAGUUGCUUAAUCACUUUGAGAUUAUUUAAAAAAAUAAAUAAAACAUUGAGUAACAGAAGAGGAAUACAAAACUUGUAUAAGGGUCAAUAUGAUCGCCUUCUCACCAUAAGGAGAUCUAAUACUGCACCGUGUAUUUAUUUUGAGCCUGGCCUGCUGUUUAACCCUCACGCUGCCAAGAAUUAUUAAGAUUACAUCGAUAAAUCCCAGACAGGUUGAUUAGUUUGGGCAUAGAUUAAAAGGAAUUUGAUUUGUUUGCACCAGUUAAAGCACAUUCCUACACAAGUAUAGCUGGUAGCAGGCAAAUAAUUUGAAUACUUAAUUUGGACAGGUUGUGUAGAAUUUUCACUGUCUGAACUAUUUCAGUGGUCUGGCAGCAUUCUGCAAUCACCAUCCAGAUUUUACAGACUCAACAUUUCGCAACAUGUGACUUUAUUGGCUAACCUUAUUACUGAACCCCAGAGCGCCUGCAUUAAAGGGACACUCCAGGCACCAAAACAACUUCAUCUAAAUUAUUAUGGUGCCAGGAGACCCCUGAAAGGCACUCUUUAAACAGGAAGCAUGGAGUGCCAAUCAGUAACUCCACAAUCCCUAAACUGGCUUGGAAAAGGUAUAUAAAACACACAUGCUAUAGUUGUUCUGGUGAAUAUAAUGUCCCUAUAAUAUUAAAUGAACAGUAUAGGGUCAGGAAUAGAAACCUGUAUUUCUGCCCCAUGGUGUUAAAAAAACAAAAACAAACAAAAAAAACAUGCUAGGUGCACCGUCUUAAAUAAGCACACACACACGGGGUUAAAGCGACAUGUGUGCAGAUAAGACACAGGUUUGAUAGAAAAUUAACAGAGUGUUGUAAAUAUCUUGAGUGAUUUUUGGUCUUACAUUAUUGCCUUACGGGGGAGAGUGUGUGUGUAUAUAUGUAUGUAUGUGUGUGUGUAUAUAUAUAUAUAUAUGAAAUACCUUGUUGGAAGUGCACUCACAGGACUCGAUACUGUUGCCAAAAAUUUGCCAUUUAUUCAAGCUUCAAAAGUUGAUUACAUAGUGUUGCUGUUUCAGUCCACUAGGGACUUUAUUUAUUAUAUAUAUAUAUAUAUAUAUAUAUAUAUAUAUAUAUAUAUAUAAAAAAAAUGUGUGCGCGCUCGUGCUUUAUGCGCACACACACUUUUUUUACAGAAAUUUCAUAUCUUGUAAUACCUUUUUUUUAUUGGACUAACAGAAUUUUCUAAUGACAAGCUUUUGGGAGAACCUCCCUUUCUCAAGUCUAAAGCAUUUCUGGGCAAAGAUGACACAUAGAAUUCAAAGUUGAGUUGUGAUACAGGGGUUAAAGCGACAUGUGUGCAGAUAAGAUACAUGUUUGAUAGAAAAUAAACACUCGCAGGGUGUCGUAAAUAUGUAAAUCUCUUGUGUGAAGAUCACAGAGUGAUCCGAACUGUCCUGCCACUAUAGAUAAGAAUAAUCUGGUGGGGGUGCUGCGAUUCACAGGGCCUACUGUACCCUCCAUGAUGUUUAAUCCCACAUUUUCCAUGGCGGCAUAAUCUUAACCCAGUUAAAGACUGGGCAUUUCACUCAAAUUUUUAAUUGGUAAUAAUGUCCGUCAGCUGUUCACAGUUUGGCUAUUUUGGCCUACAAUUUUACAUUUCAAGUUGAAUUCCUAACAGUUCAUACUUUGGUGAGCAACUCCAACAGGCUCCCAUGUGUUUGAGAUACCUAUUGAUGGAGUCGGGUUGUUUUGCUGUUGGAAUUAUGCAAAAAGGCAUUGUUACUAGAGUUUAAAGUAACACUACGCUUUGUCAGAGGUCUGCCAGACAGCACUCUACCUCCUCUCAUCCAUCAGAGCCAGAAUGUCCUGCUAUGGAGCUUUCUUUAGUUCAGGGCCAACUCAUUUGCUAGCGGAUUGUUCACAGCCAACUAGCUCUGACCUGUGCCACCAUGCUUAGUUUAGACCAUGGGUCCUCAAACUCCAGCCCCCCCUCAGAUGUUGCUGAACUACAACUCCCAUGAUUUUUUGAAUUACAUAGAUAGCCAGAGAAUCAUGGGAGUUGUAGUUCAGCAACAUCUGGGGGGCCGGAGUUGGAGGACCCCUGAUUUAGACUGAGCGCUUUAAGGCAGACAGUAGGUUGUAGUGGAGGCAUGAAAUGGUGCUUGAGGUACCUCAAUUAAAUCAUUUAAAAAAACUGUUCGCUUAUAUCAGAACCACAUGACACCAUAGUCACUGCAGCAGCACGCUGUAGUGCUUAAGGUCCUUGGACUGUCCCUUUAACCCCUUAAGGACCAAACUUCUGGAAUAAAAGGCAAUCAUGACAUGUCACACAUGUCAUGUGUCCUUAAGGGGUUAAAAAGUCCUAGAAAGCAGGCAGCGUGGUACAUGUUUAAGAUUUUUGGUCUUACAGUAUUGCCUUACUUUGGUCACAUGACAGACCGCAUGUCGACCUUCCACUAGGAUGGCUUAUUAUUUGGUGACCCCGGCUAAGGAUCAUGUGAUAAUUUCACGCGCCAUCCCUGCCCUGUGUGCCGAGCACUGUAAGGCGGCUGGCUGCUUUCAUUGUCUGGAGUUCAAGGCGCCAGACGGCUUCUCGAACGAGUCCCGCUCACCACGUGGUCCUGGGGGUGUUUCCACUUCCGGCACUCUGUCUCCACGCUCCAUGCAUUCUCCCAGCUACCGGAAGUCGCUCUCUUACGUCACUUUGUCGAGCGACGCGACCUAACCCGGAAGUGCGACGCGUUCCGGGGGACGGUUGUUGUUGAACUCCCUUUACGGUUGGAGGGGGGGAGUUGUACUGUAAUUCUCCUCUCCGGCCCGCACCACCUUGUCCUCCAUGCGUGUCUGCGUCGCGAGCAUCAGGACGGCCGUGUGACCUGGGGAGCCGAGUCCGGGUGCACACGUGGUUACUCCAUCACAGCGCCAAGUAUGUCCGCGGGGUGUGAGCGGGAGGGAAGCGUGUUUCAGGCUGUAACUUCCCACUGAAUGGCGCUCAAUGCAGUAUGUGUAAUGCUAGCACGCGGCGAUUUAUAGUGUCCAGUUUUAAUGCGAUAGUGUCAGACCGCAACUGUGUGGCUCUCCUCUGUCAGCUGAUCUCAUUGUGCUGAGAGUACACCGAGCGUUCAUUCAACCUUGCAACUGUAGGUCAUUAGAAAGUAUUCAGCAGUAAGUUUACUAGUUUGGGUCCUAUUUUACAAAGACUAUGUGCACUGAAACAAAAUAACCCCCCCCCAAAAAAUAUUUUAUUAAAAUGACCUGAAAAGGUGGGAGGGUGUGUAGUUGGUUUUAAUUAAAGCAAUCCUAUAAAAUGGAUAAUUAUAUAAAGUAUUCGUGCUAAAGUCAGUCUGCAGUCAGAAAAGCUUACGCUAACAGGAAAUGUAGCCAAAGACUGCUUUAAUCCCCCCCCGAAUAUUAUUUUAUGAAAAGCCAUAUGCAAGUGCCUUUUCAUUUUAGUAGAAAAAACACAGAACAAAAAGUAGAAAGCGAAGGCAACAUCUCCUAUAUUUAGUAAUUGCACAUUUUGGCCGCUGAAUUGCUAGCAAGGCUUUCUGGUAAUAUAAUUUUUUUUUCACUUUUGAAUUUAAAGUGUUGACAGAAGUGUGCCAUUAAUUCAUUUUAAUCUGAUGCAGGAUAUUUAAUAGGGCAUAUGAUAGCAGAUAUGGGUUUAUGCAUUUGCUUGUUACCCUCAAGCUCUGGGCCAGACCUUGAUAAAACCUUUCAGUGAACUAAAUCCUUUAAUUUUUAGACUUUCAGUAAUGUCCAAUGAAUAAUUUACAGGUGUGAUGCAGUGAUAGAGUAGAACAUUUAUUCCUGCAGCAUUUCCAGGUGCUAGCAUCUAACCACUAUAUUCUGGACCGCUUUUAGUAACCUUUUAUUAAGCACAUACAUAGGCAUUCCUUCUGUAGUAAGUUCAAACACAUUUGCAUUAAGUGUUCUGUGUCAUGAUACCUGCAUUAGUUUAUGGUGCUUGAUUCUUUUUGCAAUUGAUUCUUACUUUUCUUAACCCACACAGACAUCUGCACUCUAACCAUAUUUUAUUCUUUCAUCCAUACAACAACCUAUGCUCUGAUUGUACCCAAACUUGUAAUUGUCUUUGAAAAACUAUUUCACUCUUCUUUCUCUACCCUUCCCCCCCUCCCCCCCCCGUGCUAAACCAUAUGUGUUGCAUUCCCCUUGGACUCCGUUUUACAUACAUUUUCAUCCACUUGCAUUAAUAUGUUCCAUAAUAUUUCCCCUUUGGGCCAAAUGUAUCACUGGCCUUUGACUUUCUAAGGCUGUUUAUUCCUUUACAUUCUCCUUAAGUUAUUUGUAUGCCAGUUCACUUACCUGCCACUCCUCAAUUAUCUCAUUCUACAGUAGACUUGUGCACAAAGGUUUUAACAGCUACAAUUGAAUCAUGCUUUUUAGAUCUGUUAUUGAAUGAAUCAAUCCAACUAACUAUUUGAAUAAGACUCCACAGGUGAAUCUUGGACGGAUUGAUUAAUUGAGCAUAGAUUAGAUGGCAUCAGAUUAUUUUGUAGCAGCUGAAACUGCACAAAUCUAUGCUGCACCUUUACCAAACCUCUUUGCUGCCUUGACUUUUAAAACCUUUUAAUUUUUUAACUUUGUUAAAAUAUCAUCUUCCUUCUAUUCCUAAAACUGGAACAAAAUCCUUAAUUUCUUCCAAUGUGCCACCUCCUUCUUAAUUCUCUGAAAAUGCUGAAAACUCAUUUCAUUAAAUGAAAAGGAUUAAAAUUAUACUUUUAGAAUUGCUAGAUAUUGUAUCAAUUUUAAAACAGUUAUGGUCCUUUCCCUUGUGUUCUGAUAGCACAGUGGCGAUGCAUCUAAUGAAAUGACAGGUAAGAGAGGAGGGAUGUUAACUGCAGCACUUUAACACUGAUGUGAUGGCAAUUAAGCGAACAUGUUCAUGCCAUGGGAGAGGUCUACCCUGGUUUGGUAAGUAUUCCUAAGGAUGGCUGAUCAUUUAUAUAAUGAGCGUGUGAUUGGAUGUUAUAGGGACACUAUAACCAUUUUAUCUCUUUGAAUCGGCUAUAGUGCCUGGAGUCCAUAGGCACUGUCCCUCCAUUCAGUGCUAAACCAUUUUAGAGAAGUUAAUAAGCGUAUUGUACACUUCUAGUCAUACCCUUAAUGCCGCCAGUUAGGGAGCUCGGAGAGAUUAAAAGCAGUCAGCUGACAUUCUCAGCCAAUCACAGCUGCCCAUUUCUGUCCAGGAUAAUACGUCCUCACCAGCUUAAGCAACACAGAGGGGGAUGGGCUGCUGUUUAGCAUUGAAACAUAAAAACACUAAAUACUCUUUAAUGCUGAAUUAAAUUAUGGCAGGGCUUGACAAAUCCCAGGUGCUAGAUUGGCAUGGGAUUUGCCAGCACUCUAGUUAGUGUGGCCGCUGAGGUAGCAUGGAGGCGGUCGCCUGCCCGCGGGAGCACUACUCUGCCUGCAGCUGCUCUCUGCUCCUUCGCGUUGUCUAAUGAUGCCGGGAGCUGGAAUAUGACAUCUUUCCGGCCCCGGCAUCAUUGCAGAGAGGAGCUAUAGGCAGAGUACUGCUCCUUUGCACACAGGAAGAGAGCCGCCCCACUGAACCCAAGACCCACUCAGCUCUCUCAAAGAUAGGGAGACUGAGUGGGUUUCAAUUAAAACAAAAAUGUGAGCGUGAACGAGCCUGUCGGAGUGAGCGAGCGUGCGUAUAAGCUUUCCGUGUGUGUGCGUGUUUAGGUACCUGCCCCCUCCGAUCUCAUGAGGAAGGUGUUUUUACUCAACUUUUUACUCAUUUUCUCAUGCCGUGCCAGUUUUUUCAAUCGUUAUGGAAAGCAUUGGGAGGAUUUUGUGCAUGCACAGCAAAUGUACCAAUCGCAUCUCCUCAUAAAGAUGCAUUAAAGGGACACUACAGUCACGCAGACCACUUCAGCUCAAUGAAGUGGUCUGGGUGCCAGGUCCCUCAGGUUUUAACCCUUCAGAUGCAAACAUAGCAGUUUUAGAGAAACUGCUAUGUUUACAUUUUGGGGUUAAGCCAUCACGCAGAGCGUCCAUAGGAAAGCAUUGAGAAAUGCUUUCCUAUGGACACUUGGAAUGCGAGCGUGGCACUUGCCGGAGAGGUCAUCAGCGCCGAGGGAGCCCGGCGCUGGAAUAAGGUAAGCUGCUGAAGGGGUUUUAGCUCCUUCAGCGCCACGGGAGUGGGACUCAGAGCACUGUAGUGUCAGGAAAACAGCUUUGUGCUGGUAGUACACAGCAAACAAGGAAAUUAUGUAACAUACAUAUUUAAAUUAAGUCACAGACGUUAAGUUUUAAAUCUGUUCUAUCCAAAAUUUAAUCAAGGCAAUGCAGCCACAAAUGAAUCUGCCGGUGUACAAUGGUAAAAAGGAAUAUAUAAAUAGCGAGGGGAAAACACAUUUACUGCUAAUAGUGUAAUACCAUUGAAAUUAUUAUAUCUUUAUUAUAAGAUUUAGAAAAAAGUGGCAAAUGGACUCUAACAACAUUUGAAAAAACAAACAAAAAAAACAUGUAGUGCUCCAUUGUCCUGCUUCACAAUUUGUAAUGCUGCUUUGUUCAUCCUACAACUCAAAUUUUAAUAUUUUUACAAAAGCAGGUUUCUGAUAUUUCUAUGUACCUUUUUUUUUUAGCCCCCUUGCUAUGAUUCUCAAUACUAAAAUUCUUAAAACCGUGCACAUCACUGUCACUUAUUUUCUUAAUUUGCAUUCAAUCAUCUCACUCUCCCAGCUUCACAAUCUUUACUGCAACUAGCAAAAUGUGUUUUAAUUUGUAAGUUUCAUCUGAGAAACAUCUGCUGACACUUGACAAUGUACAAAUUAGACUUUCUUUGCUCCUCAGGUAACUUAACAUUAUUGCAUCCCCAAGACAGUUCUUCCCUCAACAUACUAAACAAUAUGUAUGAUAGGCCUCCUGAGGCAAGCCAAAGGGGAAGCACUGCACCAAGCUGUUGUAACAUAAGAAAUUAUUUUGUAGCAUCUGUCAAUGACAAUCUUGUUUUCUGUUGUGUUGACGAAACCUGACUACACAUACACCUAAACACCGUGGAGUAUUUAUUAGUAUUAAUGUUAUUAACAGCUUGUCAUCUGAAUACAACAAAAACAAGCUGUCAUUGGUUACAGAUACAAAUAGGUGACUUGACUGCAAACAGUUUAAACUUUGUAAAACGUUUGUAACAGGAUAAAUAAUACAAUACCUGAAGAAAGGAACUGGAUAACUCCUAAUACUAGAGCCAUCUGGUUCAUUACUGGUUUCUGUAACCUAUCUGCAGUCCUGCUUGCCAGUAGUCUCUUGAUUUUAUGCCCACACUGAAUCUUCUAUACAAGUGUAUUGGAUUACUAGGUUCUUCUUGUGCAUCCUCAGCAAAUUUACAAGAUUCAGAGCUUAUUGCAUAACAUGAUGCCUGUGGCGUUUAUGAACAUCUCAUGUAAAUGUGAAUUUGCAGUCUGGGAAUGGAUAGCCGUGUCAGUGAAAAGAUUAAAAAUAAAUAUAUUUUUCUUUUUGGUUCACUUUUAUUUGUAUUCCACACCCAUAAAGCACUUCAGCUUAAAUAAGUUCUUCAUGGGUGAGAACUAUUCUAUUUUUAAUAACCCUUUAUAAAAGUGCCAAUUUCUAUGAGAUCUGCACCUUUGUAAUUAAAUCUCUUCCUGGCUUUUAGACAGUCAGGGAGGUUUGCAUCCUUCUUCCAUUAGCUCCUCUGAGCUAAAAGAAGUGGCAGAUGCACUCCGCUUGAGCAACCCUACCUUCUUCAUAUAGCAAAGAAAAUUGAAGCUAAUCCUAGUAAAAAAAAAAUUCUAGAAAAAAAUUCAAGAAAAUUAUCCUAGAAAUGUAUUAUAUAAUUUUUUUUUUUUGUUAAAAAUAUUUAAAAUACCACAUGCCACCAAACUAUGAUAAAAUGUUCAAAUAACAAGUUAUAUGGAUAGUUUAAAUAUAUGCUCUGUUCAUUGCAAGCUCUUUUAGGCUGAUGAAGCAAAAUAAAUACUUGCUUAUAAAUGUAUCUAUAAAGUAUAACAAUUAAGUUAAAGCUCAAUAGAAAAUAAUCACAACUGUAUCCAUUAUUGUAAGUUUCUAUACAGAGCUGUGAAACGAUUAAAGGGACACUAUAGUCACCCAGACCACUUCAGCUCAAUGACGUGGUCAGGGUGCCAGGUACCCCUGGUUUUGACCCUUCAGAUGUAAGCAUAGCAGUUUCAGAGAAACUGCUAUGUUUACAUUGCAGGGUUUAUCCAACCUCCAGUGGUUGUCUUCCUGACAGCUGCUAGAGGCGCUUCUGCGACGCUGGAUGUGAAAUUCGCUUCCAGCGUGCAGAACGUCCAGAAGAAAGCAUUGAGAAAUGGUUUCCUAUGGACUGUUUUAUUGCGUGUGUGGCUCUUACUGUGGAAAGGGUUCAAAUACACACAGCUAAGCAUUACAGCCUAAAUAGUACAAGGAGCACAAAGCAAAAGGAAACUAUAACAUCUGCAGAUUGUGAUAACAUAGAAGUGAUGAAAUACAAAAAGUAAUGAGAAAUUAAGGAAAAGUUCCCUAAGAUAUAGCAAGAGUAGUAACAAAAUCAAGCCAACCCUUAUGUGCCUUCCAGGGCCCCUGUGGAAACUACAAAACUGCUAUAUUUAAAAUUACCUGCACUAAAUGAAGUGCUAUUCAAACUAAGAAACAAAGAUCCACCUUUUAAAAAAAUAAAUAAAUAAAAAUUACAGGAAACUGCUACAAUUACUAUGCCAAAUUUAAAAUCCCCAUAAUUUACAAAACAAAUCGGGGGGAAAAAAAGAGCCCCAAUGAAUCCCCAGACCAGAUGCGUGUGCAUGAAAAGGCUUGAGAUCACUUCCAGAAGAAAAAGGGGACGACUUGCAAAGGCUUAUUCCUAAAGACCAUGCAUGUAUUAUUGUGGGUAUAUCUGCUAAACCUUUUUUCCCCAUUCAGUAAGUUUGAGUGGUCCUUUAAGUAAAAACCAGGGGCAUGUAAGCACUACUUUUUACAACGACCUGUUUUGUCCAAGCCCAGUCUUUAAUGUAACACUCCAGGCAGUAUAACCCUUAUUGAGUGCUGUAGUGGUUAUGGUGCCAGGAGUGCCCUAGCACCCCAAAUAUAAGUAGUCAAACCUUUUUAGAAUGUUUUGACUACUUACUUUUGGUGUCUGCUGGAUGCUGCACUCUACUUUUGGUUGAUAGGUGCUGUUCCCUGCCUGCACUUGAGGCGGAAACACAGUCUGAACUAAGCACGUGCAGCCAUUGGCGGAGUGUGUUCAACUGAUGUUCUCAGCCAGUGAGCUAGCCCGCAACUGUUUUGGCUCAUGAGAGCUAAUUAAAAUGCAGAUAGUAGGACUUUAAUUCUUUAUAAAAGAAAAGAAAGAAUAAAGUUUAUUAAAAAACAGUUGGCGACUGAUCUGCUUUAUAGAAUAAUCAAAAAGAUACACCACGCUAGGCUUCAAAUCUGACUUAUCGUAUACAAGCAGUCUCCCAUAAUUAUUUUAUUAUCAGCAUUUAUAGAGCACCAAUACAUUCCAUAGCACUUUUAAAUAUUAGCAUCAUCAUCGACAGUAAGCAUUUAUUGUUAAAUCUCCCCCUCUUCUAACCUUAGAAAAGGCUGAGCAAUUUUAGCAAAUUCUUACACUGACAUACAAAUUUAUGGGAAUAAUAAAGGAACACUAUAGUCACCUAAAUUACUUUAGCUAAAUAAAGCAGUUUUAGUGUAUAGAUCAUUCCCCUGCAAUUUCUCUGCUCAAUUCACUGUCAUUUAGGAGUUCUCACUUUGUUUCUGUUUAUGCAGCCCUAGCAACACCUCCCCUGGCUAUGAUUGACAGAGCCUGCAUGAAAAAAAAAACUGGUUUCACUUUCAAACAGAUGUAAUUUACCUUAAAUAAUUGUCUCAAUCUCUAAAUUGAACUUUAAUCACAUACAGGAGGCUCUUGCAGGGUCUAGCAAGCUAUUAACAUAGCAGGGGAUAAGAAAAUCUUAAUUAAACAGAACUUGAAAUAAAGAAAGCCUAAAUAGGGCUCUCUUUACAGGAAGUGUUUAUGGAAGGCUGUGCAAGUCACGUGCAUGGAGGUGUGACUAGGGUUCAUAAACAAAGGGAUUUAACUCCUAAAUGGCAGAGAGCAGUGAGGCUGCAGGGGCAUGUUCUAUACACCAAAACUGCUUCAUUAAGCUAAAGUUGUUCAGGUGACUAUAGUGUCUCUUUAAGCUUGCACCACUUAUGAAUCUUUACUGACGUGGAGAAUUUUCCCAAAUCAGAUAUUUUGGACUUAAAUGUCAAAUUCACUUUGUAUUUCUGUAAAUUCUCAUUUUAAUAAAUAGCUGUAAAAGUGAAAUGGUAAAUUCUUAAAAAUUGCAUUUUUUUUUUGUGAAAAAUCUGGGCAUUGACAUUUUGCAUGUUAUACUUGUAGCUUUAAUUUGCAUGAAUUGUCCAGUUGGGCCUAAUGACCGUUUUAUAUCAGAGCAAUCAGGUUAAGGAUCUAUCACAAGUUUGUCCACACAUCGAAUAACUGCAGGUCUGACAGUUUAAUGACAAGUGAAAUGAGCAGAACUGAACAUGUAGGUACAAGGUCUUUAGGGAAAGAUUAUAAUGCUGGCAAAAUGUGAUUUUUUUUAAUUUUUUUUUCUGUACAUUAUUUAAAGGUGUAUAUACAUUUUAUUUUUGUGUUACUUACCUUUUAGAUUAUACCGCCCUUUCCCUCCCUCCCCCCCCAUUUUGGGCAAAAAUUUGUUUUUACUGGUAACUUACUGGCAAAAGGCCUUUUUAAAAUCACUUUUUUUGUGGGAAGCAACUUAAGCCUUUCUGGUAGGCUAGAAGACUGUGUUCCUAAUUUGUGGUAGCCAAGCAGAAGUGUGUGAUUAUAUUUUAACUAGGUUUCUUUUUCUGUUUUUACAGAUUUCUCCCUAGAACUUUCAUCACUUGUGUGUAGCGUCCGUGCGUUUUGAUAUUCAAGGUAAUAUUUUAGCAUUUUUUGAAGCUUAAAUAUAGAAUUUAUAUACAUAAUAAAACAGAGUUGCAG